UGUUAUGCUAUCUUUCACAGCCAGCCCGAUAUUAUUCAGACUGAGGCAGCUGCUUCUGGAGGACAUUAAGCUCCUGUCAGGCAGAGGACUCCACAGGACUAGGGAAGCUAUAAAGAAGGCUCCACUCUGAGUCUCCAUCAGAUGAAUCUGCAGCAAAUCUAAGAUGGAGUGGAUACCACAAUUCUCAAAGAUUGUUGAAAUCCUAAGCAACCCCCAAGCACCCUGGAGAAAAAUCAAAAUUGAUACCCCAGCUUCAGCUGAAUUUCAGACCCAACCAAGUGUUGCCUUCAGUUUUUCAAUUGUUUCUGUAACAGCACUGGAAAUGAAUCUGGAAGCUUCUGGAAAUGAAAUGCAAUCAUAGGAGAAAUCUUAGGACAUGUAUUAAGACAAGCAAAUGGACCAUUUCAGUGAUUAGCUGAGAUUGUAGAAAACUCAUUAAACCCUAGAAAUGGUAUUAAUUAAGGUUCUAGCCCUAUGAAUAAUUGCAACAUCUCUGCCAUCCUUGUAGCCAUCAAUGGUAGUGACCUCAUUGUAACAAUGUUCAAAACUGCAGAAUAUUUCAUUUGGGGAAAUGGAGACCAUAUGGAAAAAAAUAAAUCCCAGUCAAAAAACUUGAA